CGCUAGAGGGGGAGCUGAGCUGUGCAGGAGCACGGAGCUCGGGAGGCACCCGGGAGUGACAGCGACCCUGCUGCUGCCGGCCUGAACGAGCCAGAGCAGAGGCCUCAGACAGCUGCAGUUCAAAGUUGGGGAACAAAUGAGCAGCAAGAGGACAGUGGUAACCUUAACUGCUAUCCAAAGACCUUCCUGCAGAGACGGAGCUCACACUUGCAGUUCCUAGAGUCAGGGCUGUAGUGGGAGGACCUGGAGUAACCCAGAGACGCCAGAUGGGGUACACCCUGGAUGGGGAGCCUGUCCAUCUAUCUCAGUGCCAUAUCACCCUGCAACUCACAACUGGCAGCCCACUGAAGCUCAGCAGGUG